ACAAUGCAGAGAAGAUUAGCAUGGCCCUUGUGCAAGGAUAACAUGCAAAUUCGUGAAGCGUUCCAUAUUUUU
rnacentral:snRNA from 1 species